CGACGAGUGAGCGGCAGAGCUCAAAUUUGAAAUCUGGCCCCUCCGGGGUCCGAGUUGUAAUUUGCAGAGGAUGCUUCGGGCGCGGCCCCCGUCUAAGUACCCUGGAACGGGUCGUCAUAGAGGGUGAGAAUCCCGUCUGGGACGGGUGGCCGUGUCCGUGUGAAGCUCCUUCGACGAGUCGAGUUGUUUGGGAAUGCAGCUCUAAAUGGGUGGUAAAUUUCAUCUAAAGCUAAAUAUUGGCCGGAGACCGAUAGCGCACAAGUAGAGUGAUCGAAAGAUGAAAAGCACUUUGAAAAGAGAGUUAAACAGCACGUGAAAUUGUUGAAAGGGAAGCGCUUGCGACCAGACUCGCCCGCGGGGGUUCAGCCGGUACUCGUACCGGUGUACUCCCCCGGGGGCGGGCCAGCGUCGGUUUGGGCGGUCGGUCAAAGGCCUCCGGAAUGUGUCGCCCCCCGGGGCGUCUUAUAGCCGGAGGUGCAAUGCGGCCAGCCUGGACCGAGGAACGCGCUUCGGCUCGGACGCUGGCGUAAUGGUCGUAAGCGGCCCGUCUUGAAACACGGACACA
rnacentral:rRNA from 1 species